UGUUAUUCGGUGGCUGGACAGGAUGGAGUCAGACAUCAGACAGCUAAGAGGCACAAGAGGAGUUUGCUCCAUAAAAGGAAGCCGUGCAGCGAAUGCAGAUCGCUGAAAACAACAUGCAGAGAUACGAUCCGCCGACAAGUGUAUCUUCCCCACACAGUCAGGAGGUAAGGACACACCUUUCGAUAGACGUGUUGAUGGCUUUUCCACAUGUGGAUCCAGAAGUUGUAAAAGUAUCCUGCACGACCUGUUAUCAGACUAGUCAAAGGAGUGAUGAGCCAAAACGAGAAUCUGGAGAAGAAAGAGGCAGGAAGGAUCACCGCU